UACGGAGGGUGCAAGCGUUGUCCGGAUUUAUUGGGUUUAAAGGGUGCGUAGGCGGCUGAAUAAGUCAGCGGUGAAAGACUUCGGCUUAACCGGAGCAGUGCCGUUGAUACUGUUUGGCUUGAGUGUUGGAGGGGUACAUGGAAUUGAUGGUGUAGCGGUGAAAUGCAUAGAUACCAUCAGGAACACCGAUAGCGAAGGCAUUGUACUGGCCAACAACUGACGCUGAGGCACGAAAGUGUGGGAUCGAAUAGG
rnacentral:rRNA from 1 species